rnacentral:rRNA from 1 species
GACGAACGCUGGCGGCGUGCCUAAUACAUGCAAGUAGAACGCACAGUUUAUACCGUAGCUUGCUACACCAUAGACUGUGAGUUGCGAACGGGUGAGUAACGCGUAGGUAACCUGCCUGGUAGCGGGGGAUAACUAUUGGAAACGAUAGCUAAUACCGCAUAACAUUAAUUAUUGCAUGAUAAUUGAUUGAAAGAUGCAACUGCAUCACUACCAGAUGGACCUGCGUUGUAUUAGCUAGUAGGUGAGGUAACGGCUCACCUAGGCGACGAUACAUAGCCGACCUGGGAGGGUGGUCGGCCACACUGGGACUGAGACACGGCCCAGACUCCUACGGGAGGCAGCAGUAGGGAAUCUUCGGCAAUGGACGAAAGUCUGACCGAGCAACGCCGCGUGAGUGAAGAAGGUUUUCGGAUCGUAAAGCUCUGUUGUAAGAGAAGAACGGGUGUGAGAGUGGAAAGUUCACACUGUGACGGUAUCUUACCAGAAAGGGACGGCUAACUACGUGCCAGCCGCCGCAGUAACAC